CACGUCAGCGCGCUUUGCUGACGUGGCAACAAAUCGCGUCCACGAGGGGGCAAUUUGUUGCCACGUCAGCAAAGCGCGCUAACGUGG
rfam:Gossypium hirsutum cultivar TM-1 chromosome 21, whole genome shotgun sequence